ensembl:lincRNA
CGCGCCGUCCCUAGGGCGCUGGUGACGCUGAGCCGCCAGGACAGCUGCCCGGCCGUUCUAGGGCCCUGGUGACACUGAGCCUCCAGGACAGCUGCCCUGACGUCCCCAGGGCGAUGGUGAUGCUGUGCGCCAGGACAGCUGCCCGGCUGUCCCUAGGGCGCCGCGCUCGGGCUCAGGGCGGGCCUCAGGCUCGUCUGGGCGGAGAGCAGCACCGGGCCCAGCAGCCCGCGGAACGGUGGCCAUCCACAGGGACCUCCAGCCGGAACUUCCUCCUGGACACCAGUCACAGCACAGAACGAGAGGUGACAGAUCCGUGGAACUGGCUUCCAGAAGAUGAGAGCUGCCCCUCCCCGCUUUUCAGCCUCCCAUUCUCAGGAUUCUUCCUUUUUGACAGUGAUGUUUUCCACCAGGAAUCCCGCCUGGCUUGGGGGCCGGCCAGAGAGGGGGGAGGAAGCGAGCCGCUAGCAGGGGGUGGGGAGAGGAGGAGGACUGACAGAGCAGCUGCAACUCAUCUCCGGACAGCUGCGAAAAGGAGCCCAGGUCCUGGGAAACGCGCCUGCCUCCCGCUCCCAGCUUCCUCCCGCCCGAGACCAGAGGACUCAGGCGGAAGACCACGCCAUGUCGCCAUGUCGCCAUGUCGCCACGUCCGGGUGGGGUGGAGGCCCCGCUGGGAGACGAGAACUGCUGCCAAAACUUAAAACGAUGAUGUCCUUCCCAGCCUCACUGUUGCAAAUCAGAAAGGAAGAAAAGCCCCGGUGAGCAGGGCCCCGCCAGCGGGGCGGCUUGGCCAGCAGACACGCGGGUCCUUAGUGACAGAAGGACUUGAUAGAAGGAAAAAAUGAAGGCUUCAGCCCCAUGUUUCUGCAGGACUCUGGCCUCCAGAGGAGCUCAGCAGAGGGCAGGAGCCUUGCGUGGGGAAAGGAACCAGGAGACGCGUUUGACCGGAUGGGUGUGGGGAGAGUGCGAGCCUCCUCCACGAGGCCGGAGGUCAUUCCAGGCUUGCUUUAAAUUUAGAGAAAAUUAGGCCGCUCUGCAACCAUCCGUGGGCUGUGCACGAGGUCAGGAGAAACUAUUUUGGAAAAUAGAUAAUGUCACCUCACCUUCCUGCUCAGAACCGCUGGGAGCUCCCGCUAGCAUAAGCCUGAGCUGGCGAGGCCGGAGGAGGAGGCUCCCUGGAGCGCGAGUUCCAGACCAGCCUGGACAGCCUGGCCGCACGCCCCCGUGCUGGUAAAGGGGCAGCAGGAGGAAGCGGUUCUUCAAGGGAAAAUGGAUAGCAGAGCUUUUGACUGGGGUCCCCAAUUCACCAGAAGCCUCCCUGUUUAGACUUUACCUAUCUUCAGUAAAUAGUUGUAUCAUGGCUGGGCGCUGGGCACGGGGGCUCUCGCCUGUAAUCCUAGCUCUCUGGGAGGCUGAGGCCGGAGGAUUGCUUGAGCUCAGGAGUUCCAUACCAGCCUGAGCAAGAGCGAGACCCCCCUCUCUAUUAUAAAUAGAAAUAAAUUAGCCAAACAACUAAAAAUAUAUAGAAAAACUUAGCCGGGCAUGGUGGCACAUGCCUGUAGUCCCAGCUACUCGGGAGGCUGAGGCAGGAGGAUCACUUGAGUCCAGGAGUUUGAGGUUGCUGUGAGCGAGGCUGAUGCCGCGGCAUCACUCUAGCCCGGGCAACAGAGUGAGACUCUGACUCAACAAAACAAAACAAAACAAAAACUACCCCCAGGCUGCCCAUCCUUCCCCACCCCCACUCCAAAGUGGGCACUCCCAGGCUCCAGGCGGCCGGAAGAGGGCGGUCUGCGAGGACAGCCAAUGGGGACAGCCACCGUGGGCCCGGCCACGCCUGGGCCGCCCAGGCGGGUUGAGUGACAG